rnacentral:rRNA from 1 species
GCACAAGCGGCGGAGCAUGCGGAUUAAUUCGAUGCAACGCGAAGAACCUUACCAAGGCUUGACAUACACCGGUAACGCCCAGAGAUGGGUGCCCCUUUGUGGUCGGUGGACAGGUGGUGCAUGGUUGUCGUCAGCUCGUGUCGUGAGAUGUUGGGUUAAGUCCCGCAACGAGCGCAACCCUCGUCCUAUGUUGCCAGCGGGUCAUGCCGGGGACUCAUGGGAGACUGCCGGGGUCAACUCGGAGGAAGGUGGGGAUGACGUCAAAUCAUCAUGCCCCUUAUGUCUUGGGCUUCACGCAUGCUACAAUGGCCGGUACAAAGGGCUGCGAUACCGCGAGGUGGAGCGAAUCCCAGAAAGCCGGUCUCAGUUCGGAUUGGGGUCUGCAACUCGACCCCAUGAAGUCGGCGUCGCUAGUAAUCGCAGAUCAGCAACGCUGCGGUGAAUACGUUCCCGGGUCUU